AGUGCGCAGUCCCACUGGCUCUUCUGAAGCAAGCUAAUUCAGAUGGGUGGGGUGGGUCAAGAACGGAGCCGAACUUAAAGACACUCAGUAAGCUUCUUUUAGGGAUUCAUGUGGUUUUAGAGAAGCUGAGGCCAUUAUUGCUCCAGAGAUGGGACACAUGACCUACACAAGUCAAUCAGCACAUCCCAGCAAUCUGGCUACAGUGAUUGGUUUCCGGUGGGCAUGUGAGCUAAUCCAGACCAGUCAGACCGAAUCCUAGGUCUUCUUCUUGGAGUUGGAGGACAAAGUGUGUUAAAACUGUGACCUAUCAAUUUGGAAGUCAAGAAGCUGUGAGCUGUGAGAAGAGAAGUUUCAGGAGGAAACAAGCAGGUGGCCUGUGGCACAGACAGAAAAGUGCAUUACCAACCUCAUGAUCAUGAUGGCCCAAGGAGACCUUCUCUCGAUUGUGAAGGGUGGAAAGAGAGAAAACAGCAGGAAAGGCCAGGUCAUGGCAUGAGUGCUGACCCAAGAAGUGAAGAUAAUCAGCCUGGAAGGAUGGCGUACGUGCUUCAAAUCUGCUUUCAAAAAACUGAAUAAUGUAUGUUUCUCUAUUGACUCUAAAUUUUGGAGCUCUAGCUUACUCAAAUUGCUUGUGUUGAGUAUCUGGAAAAGCACUAGAAAGGUGGUAAAAAUACUUCAUGUGUAUCAACCCCUGCCAUUCUGCAGUGGAUUCUAUACAGAAGAAUAAGGUGGGGAAAGGCUACAAAAGCAGGAGAAGUCUCCUGAUGCCUGAAGGGACCCAAGGGAUGGUCCCCAGCUGGGCUGGCUGAAUGGGUUCGAGUUGCAGCUUGGCAGCUGCUCACAUUCUGUCUCCCAGACAUCUCCUUUGGCUGAGGUAUGUGGACUUAGAGGAUGGCUUGAAGAGAUGGUUUCUCAGUGUGUUUUAGUAUUUAGUGGACUGGUUACUACUGUACUGUAAUAUGCCCACAUCCAGAACUGGGUUAAGACCCUGAAUCUUUCAUAUCUAACUACCUUUGACUUGAUUUCUUUUCUUUGUGAAUCAAGAACAACCUAUCACCUUUUGCCUUUAGUGGUGUACUGUCUGUCCUACCUUUAAUCAUUUCACUAACAGUUUUGGUAUCAUAUUCUCCUGAUGCAUUAAGAACUUCUUAUACAAUGAAGUUUUCUGGGUCUUCGUCUCUACUAAUAUAACACCAGGUGUAAUUGGGCUCUUCACUACUGUUAGAAAGGAAAAAAAAAAGCAAGCCUAGUUUUUAAAUGUAUAAUUCACACAUGGAUACCUCAUCUCUAUCCAUAUACUUAAUUAUAGAUUGUAAAACUAAUUAUGUACACUUUGGCAUUUCCCUCUGAUGCUCCUUCAGAUAUUCUACAUUCAUCUUCACAACAUCUUUGUAAGGUAUGACCAAAAGAUCAAUUAUUUUCCUCUAAUGGGAAGAAGAAAUGGAAAGUAGUUUGCCAAGGUCACUCAUCGUUAGUGCUGGAACUUGGUGGCCUGAAGCCCAGGUCUCAUGAUUGUUGCUCCAGUGCUCAAUCCAGGAAGUCAUGUUGCCUCCCCAACCAAGUUGGUAACUUGGGAGUGGCUCUAGGUCAGAUAAGCAGGCAGACCUCCCCCUGAGGCAUUCACCAAGUAUAUUAGUCCAUUUUCACACUACUGAUAAAGAUAUACCUGAGACUGGGCAAUAUACAAAAGAAAGAGGUUUAAUGGACUUACAUUGCACAUGGCUUGGGAGGCCUCACAAUCAUGGCAGAAGGCAAGGAGGAGCAAGUCAUGUCUUACAUGGAUGGCCUCAGGCAAAGACAGUGCUUGUGCAGGGAAACUCCCCUUUUUAGAACCAUCAGAUGUCAUGAGACUUAUUCACUAUCAGGAGAACAGCAUGGAAAAGACCUGUCUCCAUGAUUCAAUUACCUCCCACUAGGUCCCUCCCACAACACAUAAAAAUUCAAGAUGAGACCUGGGUGGGGACACAGCCAAACAAUAUCAGCAAGCCAGAGAGGAUGCAACCAAGUGCAUGGUCAAACCUGUUCUCACCCUUCAACCAGAAAGCAGCAUAUACGCAAUAGAUUACACAACAAUCAAGAAGCAGCCCCCAUCUCCAUCCAGUGCAACAGACCAUGCUGGAGCACCUCUGCCUUAUAAAGCCCUUGUUGUUACAAUGAUAGCAAAAGCAGAGGUGCUAUGUCACAUUAAUGGCAUAGUCAGUCACAUUAAGCUCCUUAAAAAUAAAGUUUAAUGUAUGUAAGGCUCUAAGGUAUUUCUCAUGGCUCAUCCCAUUUAAUCCUUACAAAAAAUUAUGAGGUAAAUAUAAUAACCCUGAUAUAGAAACUGGCAAGUGCCAGAGUGAGGUUCUAAACCCAGUUCUGUUCACUCUACCCUCCCAUUGCUAGAGCCGGAGGCUCUUUGUGGGAUGUCACAAAGCAGGUCACUACCACUUUUGGGGACAGGAGAGACAAACUCGAGUAAAUGACUCUUGGAGGCCAGCUCAGUAGAGAAGAGCAAGCAAAGUGGAACAAAUUGCCCUUGAGUUACCUCUCGACUGUGGUACUAAUUUAACUUUGUGACCUUGGCAUAGUCAAGCCCAGUGACGAAGUGAUUCCAUAGCCAUACAAAUGAUUUCUGACUAAAAUGGGCACCUGGAGGGUGAAAAAUAAUGAAUUUCCAUAUGAAUGAGCGGAUUAUGGGAUAUGCCUCUCCAGUGGGCUGGGCCUCACUCUCACUUUUUGUCACUCUUUUCUCCUCAUCACUGCUGCAUUUUUAAGGGCCUUAAAUAACUCCUGCAUUCUAGAUAUACACUCCAGUGUAAAUAUGCAGAACAUUUUGACACUUAAAAAUAUGUCCAUAGCGAAGUAGGACAGGUUGGAAUUAUAGUAGCCUGGAGGCAUAAGGAAGAGAAAGGAGUAAUACUUUACUUUCUGAAGUUACAAGGAAUAGUUUUACCAGCCAAUUGCUGCAGAGGGAGGAUAAAAUUACUAAUCAAAUCAACAAAUGCAUAGGCUAGAAAACAAAUAAAUUAUUUCAGCACUAUUUCAGAAACCCAUGUUUCAUCAAUGAUAAAUCACUAAGUAGAAGGGAAGCUACGAGUACUGUACUUAUUUUAAAGACUCAAAAUAUGACUCAACAUCUUCAUGGAGUGAUAUAUUCAUUUAUUCAAAAGUGAACCAUCAUAAUAUAUGAAUGGGUAUACCGCAUUUACAUAUAAUAUGCCAGGCAGUGAUAAAUCAGAACUACGAACACCCACUGCCUCAGUUCCCCGAUGAUAGCCUCAACUAAUUUCUGCCUGAUAAAGCAAACAAGUAAACAAAAUGAUUGUCCCGGUUUCCUAAAGAGUCUUGUACUGAAUCCUC
ensembl:lncRNA novel transcript, antisense to NKAIN3